rnacentral:tRNA from 12 species
GCCGAGGUGGCGGAAUUGGUAGACGCGCCGGACUCAAAAUCCGGUGGUGGCAACACCGUGAGGGUUCGAGUCCCUCCCUCGGUACCA